rnacentral:rRNA from 1 species
UACGAACUGUGCAAGCGUUAUUCGGAAUCACUGGGCUUACAGGGUGCGUAGGCGGCCUGACAAGUAUGGUGUGAAAGCCCCCGGCUCAACCGGGGAAUGGCGCCCUAAACUGUCGGGCUGGAGUGAGAUAGGGGUGUGCGGAACUUCCGGUGGAGCGGUGAAAUGUGUUGAUAUCGGAAGGAACGCCGGUGGCGAAAGCGGCACACUGGAUCUCAACUGACGCUGAGGCACGAAAGCCAGGGGAGCGAACGGG